GAUGCGGUAGAGGAGCGUUCUGUAAGCCUGUGAAGGUGAGUUGAGAAGCUUGCUGGAGGUAUCAGAAGUGCGAAUGCUGACAUGAGUAACGACAAUGGGUGUGAAAAACACCCACGCCGAAAGACCAAGGUUUCCUGCGCAACGUUAAUCGACGCAGGGUUAGUCGGUCCCUAAGGCGAGGCUGAAAAGCGUAGUCGAUGGAAAACAGGUUAAUAUUCCUGUACUUCUGGUUAUUGCGAUGGAGGGACGGAGAAGGCUAGGCCAGCUUGGCGUUGGUUGUCCAAGUUUAAGGUGGUAGGCUG
rnacentral:rRNA from 2 species